UACGUAGGUUGCGAGCGUUAUUCGGAUUUACUGGGCGUAAAGAGCACUUAGGUGGCUUCUUAAGUUGGUUGUGAAAUCUCCCGGCUUAACUGGGAGGCGCCAUUCAAAACUGGGGAGCUUGAGGUCAGCAGGGGAAAGUGGAAUUGCCGGUGUAGUGGUGGAAUGCGUAGAGAUCGGGAGGAACACCAGUGGCGAAAGCGCUCUGCUGGGCCGACACUGACACUGAGAGACGAAAGCUAGGGGAGCGAAUGGG
rnacentral:rRNA from 1 species